UACGUAGGGUGCAAGCGUUUGUCCGGAAUUAUUGGGCGUAAAGAGCUCGUAGGCGGUUCGUCGCGUCGGCUGUGAAAACCCGGAGCUCAACUCCGGGCCUGCAGUCGAUACGGGCGGACUCGAGUUCGGCAGGGGAGACUGGAAUUCCUGGUGUAGCGGUGAAAUGCGCAGAUAUCAGGAGGAACACCAAUUGCGAAGGCAGCUCGCUGGGACGUUACUGACGCUGAGACGCGAAAGCGUGGGGAGCAAACAGG
rnacentral:rRNA from 1 species